UCCCUAAUUUCCCCUUCUCCUUCCCCACGUGCGCCGCCAUGGGCUCCCGCCGCCGCCGGUCUCUCGACCAUGCCCGCGCACCAUCCGCCGCUCCCGCAUGACCCUGCUGGCCUCCCGCCCCCACGCGCUCAAAUCCUCUCCUCCGACUAAGUGCCCUCUCUGCUCGAACCCUCGUCCUCAUGGUGGGCACUGGUCAGAUCUCGGGGAAGACCGGUCUCAAACUUGCUGCAGAGGAGUACUGCCCUGUACUAGAAUAUCAUGAUGGCCAUGGCGAAGCAGUUCCUGUAGGCGUUGCUGCUCCUGUUGGCCAACCCCUUCCUGGCCUUUCCGGGUUGGGUUCCCGUGAGCGGCGUCAUCAGCUUAGGCACCAACCUCGUCUCCUCAAGGAUGAACAAACCUAGCAUAUCGUUACUGAAUUUGGAGUUAUACACAUCAACAAGAGGAGGGAAAGAGACGGGCUUACAGUGGUAUGA